GACCAUACCUUAGCGUAAACCGCUAAGGUAUGGUCACAAAAUCAGUGAGAUAUAGAGACGGCCUUGCCGUCUUGUCAUCAUCUGACUGGUUGCUGGGGAAAACCCCAGUAGGCGCUUCCGCAAGGAGCGUC
rnacentral:sRNA from 1 species